AGAAAUGACUAAUCUCAGAUCUGGGGCAGGGUAGGUGCAAGAUGAGCCUGGAACAUGUGGUGAAGCUAGAAAGUAAGGGAAUGUUCAAAAACCACAUUGAAGGCAUAUCACAGGACAGGGGCAUCAGCUUGGAGGGGCUCCCAAUGGCCAAACUGGGGAGUGUUUGAGCACCAAAACAAUCAAGUUGAGUAAUAAACUGUAAGCCCUGAAAAACAGACAUUUGUGUCCACACUGACUUGGGAAGAAGGGAAGACCUUUGCCAACAGUAAAUAUCUGAGGCAACCAUUGAAGAGGAAGUUUUAGAAUUGGAAAGUCAUCUUUUGCAAUCAUCCUAAUAAAGACUGGAUCACUCCAUCAUUAAGCGUUGCUGAAUUUUGGUAACGAGCAGGAUAUUUGUAUGGUGUCAGACUAUCUCCCCAAGGACUGCAUGUUAGUUGCAAGCAAGACUUAAAAAAUACCCAGUAAAUAUACAGUGGAGAAAUUGGAUGACACCCUGAUGAGGUGAUCAAAAUUAACAUCACCAGGGAGGGAUAGGCAGGCAUCAGGUGUUUCCACAUGCCUUACUCUAAGAAGGAACUCCAUAUGCUCUCUGCAGUCUUUUGGCCAAGAACGAAUAACCAGAAACUAGUCACAAGGAAACAUCAGACAAAUGCAAAAUGCUAUUUUUAAAAGGGAGUGUGGGGAGGAAUGGUUGGUCGUAUUCUUCCGAUGUCAAUGCCAUAAAAGAUAAAGAACACCAUAGAGGCGUUCUAGAUUAAACGAGGCUAAAGAGACAUGACAGCUGAAUGCAGUCUCUGACCCCCAGACUGGAUCCUGUGCUGGAGGGGAAAAAAUAGUAUAAAAGGAUAUUGUCGGUUCUACUGAGAACAUUGGAAUGUGAACUCUAGAUGAGAGAAAAGUCUGUACCGAUGUUAAAUUGAGGUAAAGCCUAGAAACAUUAUGAAAGUAUUCCAGAGACUCUCCAGAGAUCUAACUCAGAUCUGCCGGGAGGUCUCCCUUACAAUUGGGCAGUGUUGAUUCCCCGAUAAUCACGAAGCCAAACUUCACACAUCAGCCAAGCAUGGACACCCCAGGAACCCACCCCAGCCUUCCCCAGGGACUCUGUGCCUCAGAGCAUCGCCCCAGCAAAGGGACCAGGGUCAGCAGUGCAGAAGCACUGAGGCGGCCCAUGGUUUGGCCAUGAGGCGGUAGAAGUGUGACAGUGGGGGUAUGACUGAGGAUGUGAAAAGGCCAAAGCCACCCGCUCCUAAUCCCAGGUCCUUUGACACCCGUGGCUGUCCGAAAGGCCAGCGCCCCACACCUGAGCGUCGAUGAUCUUCUGUUUGGAGUCUACAG